rnacentral:rRNA from 1 species
AGAGUUUGAUCCUGGCUCAGGAUGAACGCUAGCGGGAGGCCUAACACAUGCAAGCCGAGCGGUAUUGUUUCUUCGGAAAUGAGAGAGCGGCGUACGGGUGCGGAACACGCGUGCAACCUGCCUUUAUCUGGGGGAUAGCCUUUCGAAAGGAAGAUUAAUACUCCAUAAUAUAUUGAACGGCAUCGUUUAAUAUUGAAAGCUCCGGCGGAUAGAGAUGGGCACGCGCAAGAUUAGCUAGUUGGUGAGGUAACGGCUCACCAAGGCAAUGAUCUUUAGGGGGCCUGAGAGGGUGAUCCCCCACACUGGUACUGAGACACGGACCAGACUCCUACGGGAGGCAGCAGUGAGGAAUAUUGGUCAAUGGGUGCAAGCCUGAACCAGCCAUCCCGCGUGAAGGACGACUGCCCUAUGGGUUGUAAACUUCUUUUGUAUAGGGAUAAACCUUUCCACGUGUGGAAAGCUGAAGGUACUAUACGAAUUUAAAGCACCGGCUAACUCCGUG